rnacentral:rRNA from 1 species
AGUGAACGCUGGCGGUAGGCCUAACACAUGCAAGUCGAACGGAAGCACAGUAAGAGCUUGCUCUUACGGGUGGCGAGUGGCGGACGGGUGAGGAAUACAUCGGAAUCUUCUUUUUCGUGGGGGAUAACGUAGGGAAACUUACGCUAAUACCGCAUAUGAUCUACGGGUGAAAGCAGGGGAUCUUCGGACCUUGCGCGAUUGAAUGAGCCGAUGUCGGAUUAGCUAGUUGGCGGGGUAAAGGCCCACCAAGGCGACGAUCCGUAGCUGAUCUGAGAGGAUGAUCAGCCACACUGGAACUGAGACACGGUCCAGACUCCUACGGGAGGCAGCAGUGGGGAAUAUUGGACAAUGGGCGCAAGCCUGAUCCAGCCAUACCGCGUGGGUGAAGAAGGCCUUCGGGUUGUAAAGCCCUUUUGUUGGGAAAGAAAAGCAGCAGGUUAAUACCCCGCUGUUCUGACGGUACCCAAAGAAUAAGCACCGGCUAACUUCGUG